CAAGACUGCGAAGUGGAGCAAAUCCCUAAAAGCCAUCUCAGUUCGGAUUGCAGGCUGCAACUCGCCUGCAUGAAGCUGGAAUUGCUAGUACUCGCGGAUCAGCAAGCCGCGGUGAAUACGUUCCCGGGCCUUGUACACACCGCCCGUCACACCAUGAGAGUCGGGAACACCCGAAGUCCGUAGUCUAACCGCAAGGGGGGCGCGGCCGAAGGUGGGUCCGGUAAUUGGGGUGAAGUCGUAACAAGGUAUC
rnacentral:rRNA from 1 species